CCAUUAGCGAUGACAAAGAUAUAGUACAAUAUUCCCGCUGGUUUUUAAGAGAGCUUGUGGCAGGUGAAAACAAGCACCAUGGUUUAUUGGAAUUGGGCUUUAGAGCUUGUUAGCAUGAAUGAAGUGACCUUUUCUAUAGAAGGUAAUUAGGGUGGCAACGCGGUUCAAUCGUCCCUGUA
rnacentral:ncRNA from 1 species